AUGCUCAUCAUGACUCUCAACACGAGUCGCCCUUACUUUUUCUCGUGCCUUGAUCCAGAACCAGAGACAACCGCAAUUUCCGGCCGUUGAUGGUUCUCCGAUACCUAAUUGAUGCAUAACAUAACGCUGCCGACGAACCGACUUCCCUAGCACGCCAAGCAUCCAUCAUGGCGAGAUGGCAUCAUGACCUUCUUCAGUUUGGGCACUGACCAUGGGAAAAGGGCCUACUGACUAGCUCUUACACACGCUAAGAGGUGAGAUUAGGUUCAAAUCGACAGCCACCCCGUCCGAGUUUGCUUCUCCUCUCCGCGCGGGAAGGGCAAAACCCAAGCCCAAGGUUGCGGCUUGCUGGUUUACCCGCUCGCUCAUCCAUUAGCCAUCACAUUCCAGGCAGUCGUUUUGCUCCCACCAGUUGCCAAGUGGUUACCAAUCAAGGGCGUUGACUUCCGAACAAGCUUGUCAAGUCGACACUGGCACCAAUUCUCGUCCCAAUGUCCAUUGACAUGAUAUCCCCAAACAUCGGUCGGUGUCCCCACGGCCGAAAUGAGCUGGCGAGAGGCAAACUUGACCGGGAUGGCUUGAACAAGCAGUUGGUAGCGAAUCGGCCUGGUAUAUUUGCCAUUUUGGUGGUGGCUUGGUAACUGGGUGUUCGUCGGCCGCCGGAUCACAAGGCUUCCACGCCUUUAGGGCAACUAGUCUUCGGAGGCAAGCACCGAAGGAGGCACUGUUCCCGCAUGUUUGGGCAGUACCUACCAUGUCCGAGAAGGUUUGUUUGCUUCAGUCAUCUCCUGAUACACACACGGUAGGCCUAGCAAGAUAUGUCCAGCAGAUCUAUAGUAUUCUUCCUUUUGUUCUUU